AACCUCCGCAAUGCGAGCAAUCGCGACGGGGGGACCCCAAGUGCCACUUUAACGGGGUGGCUUUUCUUAAGUGCUUUUGGAUAAGGGCUGGCAAGACCGGUGCCAGCCGCCGCGGUAACACCGGCAGCUCUAGUGGUAGCCAUUUUUAUUGGGCCUAAAGCGUUCGUAGCCGGUUUGAUAAGUCUCUGGUGAAAUCCUAUAGCUUAACCGUUGGGCUUCAUGGGAUACUACAUUGCUUGGGGACGGGAGAGGUAGGAGGUACUCGGGGGGUAGGAGUGAAAUCCUGUAAUCCUUUGGGGACCACCGGGGGCGAAGGCGUCCUACCAGAACAGUCCGACGGUAGGGGACGAAAGCUAGGGGGGAGACCGGGAUUAGAUACCCGGGUAGUCCUAGCCGUAAACGAUGCGGACUUGGUGUUGGACAGUGCCGAAGGGAAG
rnacentral:rRNA from 1 species